AGUGAACGCUGGCGGUAGGCCUAACACAUGCAAGUCGAACGGCAGCACAGUAAGAGCUUGCUCUUACGGGUGGCGAGUGGCGGACGGGUGAGGAAUACAUCGGAAUCUACUUUUUCGUGGGGGAUAACGUAGGGAAACUUACGCUAAUACCGCAUACGACCUACGGGUGAAAGCAGGGGAUCUUCGGACCUUGCGCGAUUGAAUGAGCCGAUGUCGGAUUAGCUAGUUGGCGGGGUAAAGGCCCACCAAGGCGACGAUCCGUAGCUGGUCUGAGAGGAUGAUCAGCCACACUGGAACUGUGACACGGUCCAGACUCCUACGGGAGGCAGCAGUGGGGAAUAUUGGACAAUGGGCGCAAGCCUGAUCCAGCCAUACCGCGUGGGUGAAGAAGGCCUUCGGGUUGUAAAGCCCUUUUGUUGGGAAAGAAAAGCAGCAGGUUAAUACCCCGCUGUUCUGACGGUACCCAAAGAAUAAGCACCGGCUAACUUCGU
rnacentral:rRNA from 1 species